AUUGAACGCUGGCGGCAUGCCUUACACAUGCAAGUCGAACGGUAGAGGGGGCAACCCCUCGAGAGUGGCGAACGGGUGAGUAAUGCAUCGGAACGUGCCCAGUAGUGGGGGAUAGCCCGGCGAAAGCCGGAUUAAUACCGCAUGAGACCUACGGGUGAAAGGGGGGGAUCGCAAGACCUCUCGCUAUUGGAGCGGCCGAUGUCAGAUUAGGUAGUUGGUGGGGUAAAGGCCUACCAAGCCGACGAUCUGUAGCUGGUCUGAGAGGACGACCAGCCACACUGGGACUGAGACACGGCCCAGACUCCUACGGGAGGCAGCAGUGGGGAAUUUUGGACAAUGGGCGAAAGCCUGAUCCAGCCAUGCCGCGUGCGGGAAGAAGGCCUUCGGGUUGUAAACCGCUUUUGUCAGGGAAGAAAUCCUUUGAGCUAAUACCUCGGGGGGAUGACGGUACCUGAAGAAUAAGCACCGGCUAACUACGUGCCAGCCGCCGCGGUAA
rnacentral:rRNA from 1 species